UCUCAUCCCCACCACCACCCCAGCCAGGCCCCUCCUGCCCUUCUCCACGGGGCCCGGCAGCCCGCUCUUCCAGCCACUGAGUUUCCAGUCCCAGGGCAGCCCCCCGAAGGGGCCUGAGCUCUCCCUGGCCAGCAUCCACGUGCCCCUGGAAUCGAUCAAGCCUAGCAGUGCCCUUCCUGUGACAGCCUACGAUAAAAACGGCUUCCGCAUCCUCUUCCACUUUGCCAAGGAGUGUCCCCCAGGACGACCUGACGUGCUGGUGGUGGUGGUGUCCAUGCUGAACACGGCUCCCUUACCUGUCAAGAGCAUCGUGCUGCAGGCUGCAGUGCCCAAGUCAAUGAAAGUGAAGUUGCAGCCACCUUCUGGGACAGAACUCUCUCCAUUUAGCCCCAUCCAGCCACCUGCAGCCAUCACCCAGGUCAUGUUGCUGGCCAAUCCACUGAAGGACCUGUUUUUAUCUACCUGUGUGACUUGAAGUGGCCAUAUGCUGUCAGGGGUGCGGAGUGGCCCCUGACUUCACUGCUGUCCCGGGAACAUGGACCCCCAGGCUUGGCCUCCUGCUGCCAUCCCCAGGGAGGUGGCCCAGGAAGGUGCCUGGCCCAGAAUAAGGAACUGGCAUACUGCAAAGUCCCCAGCCCUGCCUCUGGUGGACAGCAUCGUCCUGGAAUGGCCACGGAGUGAUGAGUUGUGUGCUUGUCCCUGGCAGUGGCAGGCUGUGUCCUAUGGACAUCUUGGCAGGACAUGGAAUUUGGCCUCAUGACAGGCCCAACUAGGGAUAGGAAGGAAAAUGAAGAGAGCCAGUAUUUCCCCUUCUCCAGAAGCAGGUACU
rnacentral:lncRNA from 1 species